GACGAACGCUGGCGGCGUGCUUAACACAUGCAAGUCGAACGGAAAGGCCCUGCUUUUGUGGGGUGCUCGAGUGGCGAACGGGUGAGUAACACGUGAGUAACCUGCCCUUGACUUUGGGAUAACUUCAGGAAACUGGGGCUAAUACCGGAUAGGAGCUCCUGCUGCAUGGUGGGGGUUGGAAAGUUUCGGCGGUUGGGGAUGGACUCGCGGCUUAUCAGCUUGUUGGUGGGGUAGUGGCUUACCAAGGCUUUGACGGGUAGCCGGCCUGAGAGGGUGACCGGCCACAUUGGGACUGAGAUACGGCCCAGACUCCUACGGGUGGCAGCAGUGGGGAAUAUUGCACAAUGGGCGUAAGCCUGAUGCAGCAACGCCGCGUGCGGGAUGACGGCCUUCGGGUUGUAAACCGCUUUCGCCUGUGACGAAGCGUGAGUGACGGUAAUGGGUAAAGAAGCACCGGCUAACUACGUG
rnacentral:rRNA from 1 species